CUUGAGCAUGACUAGCACUGAACUACCUAAUUUCUGACUGUUACAAAUUAAUCAAGUCACAGCACAUUUGCGAUUCAUAUCAGCUACCUAGGGCGUUUCUGUAGACAGCUAACCCAUUUGGGAAGCAGUCAGCUAAUACUAUCUGGAUGUCAGAUGCAUCUCAUGUUUUGGCAGCUCUUUAUAGUCUUUCAAGGGGAUUGUGUUGACAGGCACUUGCCCUUCAACUUGCUGCUCUGUUUGGCAGCGGCUCUGUUUUCAGUCUUGCCUUCAUUGCACUUGAGGAUUUUCCACAGCCAUGUAUGGGGAUGUUCUCAUGUAAGAGGGUCAGACGGGCAAAAAUCUGGGAAGAAGGGAUUCCAAGCGACAGGGACGGGGUUUCACUGUGUUGGCCAGGAUGGUCUCGAUCUCUUGACCGUGUGAUCUGCCUGCUUCGGCCUCCCAAAGUGCUGGUAUUACAGGCGUGAGCCACUGCGCCCAGUCAAAGAUGUUCUCUUUUAAGAUUACUUUUUAAAAAGACUCACACGGUACCUUCCCACAAGAAGACAUGGAGACUAUGUGACGUAGCCUGUGGGUCCCUGGACACCGGGACUAGAGGACCCUUCCCAAGAGCAGACCGCAGGCAAGAUACCAUUCAUUGGCCUCGCUGCCUGUGCCCGCGGAUUCCGCACGUGGCCACACCUCUUCUAUACAAGGCAAGGUGGCGUGCCUACAUCCAUGCCAUCCUGUUGUUAUCCAUGGAUGAACAACUCAGAAUUUGGAGAAAUGGAUUUGGGGAAAUCUCUGAGACACAUUUUGAAACCAGCGAGGAAUUAGGCUGCAAGCGGCAGCAGCAGUAACAGUGACAGCAGCAAGAAACAGCCACCUGCAUCUCAAGAGUGGCACAGGGCUUCCACUGGCUGAGGCGGACACAUGGCGGAUGUGUAAGAAGCGUGCAGAAAGUGGUCAGUCGUGUGUGCACACACGAAUACAUGCUCAGUGUCAGGCCAAGGCCCUGUGGGCCUAAGGAAAACAAUGUCACGUUUCAACAUGAUUUGGGAAACCCUACUCUCCACUGAAAUCUCAUAUUGGCAGCAGAAAACUCUGCCGAUGCCUCAGAAGCCAAAGAUAACUAAAUUGUGUUUCUUUUAGUUCUUGCAUAGGGGCAAGCCCACUUCACAUUUCAUGAUACACCAACUCCUAGAGAGCUCCUUUGGGGCCCUAUUUAAUUUACUUAACUUUUGUUGGCAAUGGAAAGUGGGCCUGCCACAUUUGAUGACUAGAGCAGGUCCAUCCCAGUCACCUGCCUUCCCAAAAGUGCAUUGGAGAGUGGAACAGAAACCACAACCCACUGUCUCGGACAGGCGUCAGCAUUGUAAAAUACACUCUGGCACCCAGCCCUGGCAGAAUAGUGGUCUACAGAGGCAAAACUUCAGAUUUUUACUAUACCCAAGGCAUAAUGAACUUUAUCGAGGGUAAAUAUUGCCCAGCCUUCUUUCAUGUAGGAACCAAGAAAACUAGACCCAACAGUUUUGCCUUUCCUUCCUUCUCUGUACAUGUUCUUCCUAGUUGUACUGGAUUUUGCUAAUAUCAUAAGCACAGCUGUGAUACAGCCAGGUCUUUAUGCAUGGAUUUUACUCUUUGAGCAGCUUGAAGACAAUUCUGUCUCGCUCUCUCUGGGUUCUCACGAGCACAGAGCUGUAACCAUAAUAAGCUCUCAAUAAAGGUUGAAUAGAGGCCACAGAGAUCUUCAGGCCAGAAGUCAGAGGUCAUUCCUUGAGGACGUGUUAGUGACAGUGUCCUGUACAGUGGCUAGGCAGAGAAAGACUGCUGAGAACAGACAGACCUGGCUUUCAUUAGUUAAGAGAUGGACAGAGGAAGGAGCUCCAUCCACUCACAAAGACAGUGGCCUCCAUAUCCCGAGAGGGGAGUCAGGAGCAUGACAUGUUCUACACAACUACAGUCUUCAUCAUAAUCCCAAAGGCAGCCAUAACCAUGGGUAAUUGGGAUAAUAUUUAGAAAAUAUUUGCAUGCCAAAACUGACAUUUUUAGAGGCCAUGGAGAAACAGGUUUCCAAUGUCAAGUUUUGUUGAAAGAGGACACACAUUAUUCUAGAUUCUGAAAGUUCCCUUCAUCUUCAAAGAGCUAGGCCUUGCCAGUGUGACUGUGGAGCUUGCUAUAAGCCUGAAUAAAGAGAAGACAGAGGACAUCAAGUUAGGGAAACCCCACCCAACAGGAAGGAGACACUCUUCUGGCCAAGAGGCAAGUUGGGGAGGGAGGGAUGCAGAGAGAAGAGAAGAUGAGAGAAGUUAAGGCUGAGCUAGUAUCUGAGAAUACCUCACAUGUGCCCCACAGCCUGCCUCUUCCUCUGCUACACUGUGGCCAGAAAGGGGUCUCAGUGUUCUACGUGCCCCCAGAGGGUGUAGCUGCGAGCCAGACUGCUGAGAGGUCACCUUUGCAGAGCCUAGAGACAGAUGACAGACAAAGCUGAGAUUUAGAGAUCUUUGGGGCCAGGAAGAUCUGAGCAGUGGAGGUCCCAAAGCACCAGCAGAGACAGCUAGACCUAGUGGCCCCAGAAUUGGAUGCUCAAAGACAUGAUCAGGCCAGGCCCAGCUCAAUCAGCACCUGCUAUGUCUCAAAGGCAGGAUGAGUUCAGAGGCACCACUCCACACUGUGAGAAUCCAUAAUUGUUUCCCUCUUCCAGCUGCCAACCUGGGACAUAGAGAGUGAAGAGACAUCCUUUGAGAAGGAAAUCUUAAUUUUUAUUUAACUGUGUAUUUACCCAAAAGAAAGUGAGUUAGACCAAAAGAGUCUAAGUUGCUUUCAAUGGGCAAGUUUAAGGUUCUCCCUCCUUCCUCUGCCAUCAACAGGAAAUGAUGAGAUCCAUAUAGAGAAUAUUUAAAAGGAAAUAAAUUAUCAUUUUCUGCCCCUCUGAGUUGCAGGGUGUAAAUUCUUCCUCUGCUAGAAGCGUGUGCAAUGUGGGAAGCCCAGCACACAGAAAGAGCUUAAUUCAUGCUGCUGAUUUAAUAGAUUUUUUUUCAUGGAUGUGCCAGAAAGCCCCAUUCAUGUAAACACUACAAUUGCAAAAGUUUAUGCCAGACAGAAGCCUGCAUUUGUUGGGGAUUAAAAGAAAGGGCACUUGACUUUGUAGCCCAAAGACCCAGGUUUUCCAGGUGCAGUCCUGGCAUUGAGUUGUCAUGUCAUCCCAGGCAAAUCAUGGACUUGUUCUGGGCCUCUGUUUCUUUCUUCAACAUGAAGGAAUUUGUUAAAGAAAUUUCUAAAAUUCUUCUGUUAAUGAGUAAUGACGAUAAUAUCAGUAGUCACAAGCAUUUACUGAGCACUGACUAGCUGCCAACCACUGUGUUGUUUGCUUUGUUUAUAUAACCCCAUUCACUUUUAAAAUCAUCUUAUGAGGGAAAGAAACCAUUAUCACCCACAUAAGGUAUGACUGCUUAUAUAGAAAAUGCCCAAAAUCCAUAAACAAAUGAUUAAGAACAAUUAAAUUUAGUGAAGAUAUAAAAUUUACAUACAUCAAACAGCUAGAAAGUUUAAUUAAAAGACAAUAUUUUUUUUUUUUAAUUCUGAGAUAGAGUCUCACUCUGUCACCCAGGCUGGAGUGCAGUGGCGCUAUCUCAGCUCACUGCAACCUCCUCUGCCUUCCGGGUUCAAGCAAUUCUCGUGCCUCAGCCCCCUGAGUAGCUAGGAUUACAGGUGUAAACCACCACACAUGGCUAAUUUUUGUAUUUUUUUUUUUUUUUUAGUAGGGACGGGGUUUCACCAUGUUGGCCAGGCUGGUCUAGAACUCCUGAUCUCAAGUGAUCCGCCCACCUCAGCCUCCCAAGGUGCUGGGAUUACAGGCAUGAGCCACUGUGCCCAGGCUAAAAGACAAUAUUCUUUACAACAGCAUCAGAAAACAUCAGGUAUCUAGUGGGGCACAGUGGCAUGUGCCUAUAGUCCCAGCUACUCAGGAGGGUGAGGUAGGAGGAUCACUUGGACCUAGGAGUUCGAAGCUGUGGUGAGCUAUGAUCGUACCACUGCACUCCAGCCCGGAUGACAAAAUAAGACCCUUCCUCAAAAAAAAAAAAAAAAAUUAAAAUAUCAAGUCUCCUAGAAUAAACCUAACAAUGGACACAUUUUCAAGACCUCUAGAAGGAAAAGUGUAAAACUUUAAGAGAUAUUAAAAAGGGCUAAGUAAUUGGAGAGAGAUAUUGUGUUCAUGGAUUAUAUAAUUUAAUAGUGUAAUUUGAUCUAUAUAUUCAGUGCAAUUCUUGUCAAAUUCCUAAUAAUUUUUUUAAAAAUAGAACCUGAAAAAAUGAUUCUAAACUUAUGUGAAAGCAUAAAAGACCAAAAAUAGGAUGUUUCUGAAAAGGUAGUGAUCAGGGGUUUCCCUUAUUGAUGUCUGGACUUUUAUGAGGCUGGAGCAAUUAAAACCCUGUAGUUUUGGUGCAGAGACAGAAAAACAGACCAUGGGGUAUGAAUAAGAUCCCAGAAAAAGAUGGAUGCAAAUAAAGAAUGUUGGUUUAUUACAGAGGAUACAGGAGGUCAGUGAGGAGAGGAGGCUGAUAAACAAAUGGAGGUGGAAAAAAGUAGUUAUUCAUAUGGGAAAAAAUGAACUUGAAUAUCUCUCUCAAACUAUAUCCGAAAAAUAACCCUAGAUAGAUUCAGGAAUUAAAUGUCAAAAAAGAAACUUUAUAAUUUAUAGUAAAAUACAGGUAACUAUUUUAUACCUUGGAGUAGUGAUAUGGUUUGGCUCUGUGUCCCCACCCAAAUCUCAUUUUGAAUUGUAAUUCCAAAUGUUGGAGGUGAGGCCUGGUGGGAGGUGCUUGGAUCAUAGAGGUGGUUUCUAGUGGUUUGGCACCAUCCCCCUAGUUCUGUAUUUAAAGUGUGUAGUACCAUCCCCUUCUCUCUCUGUCCUACUGGCCAUAUGCAGAUAUUCCUGCUUCCCCUUCACCUUCCACCAUAAUUGUGUUUCCUGAGGCCUUCCCAACCAUGUUUCCUGUACAGCCUGCAGAACUGUGAGUCAUUUAACCUCUUUUCUUUAUAAAUUACCCAUUCUCAGGGAGUUCUUUAUAGCAAUGCAAGAAUGGACUAAUACACGCAGCUAAAGUUUUUCUUAAGCACUUAAAUUGUUGACUAUAAAAUGAUAAAUUUAACUAUGUCAAAAUAAAGAACAUUUGUUCACCAAGAGAUACCUUUAAAAAGUAAAAAGACAAAGUAAAAACUGGGACAAGAUAUUCAUAAUAUCAACCACAAAGGUUUAGUACCAAGAAUAUAUGUAGAACUGCUACAAAUCAAUUUUGUUAACAAAGCACAAAUAACCAGUAUAAUAAUGGGGAAAAAAAGCACCAAUGGCAUUUCACAGAAGAGGAAACAUAUAUGCCCAAUAAACUUAUGAAAAGAUUCAAAAAGAAAAGUGAAAAAAAUUAUGAAUACCUAGUAUAUGAUAGCACAAAAGGGUGACUAUAGUCAAAAUAAUUUAACUGUACAUUUAAAAAUACCUAAAAGAGUAUAAUUGGAUUGUUUAUAACACAAAACAUAAAUGCUUGAGGGGAUGGAUACCCCAUUUCCCAUGAUGUGAUUAUUAUGCAUUGUGUGCCUAUAUCAAAACAUCUCAUGUACCCCAUAAAUAUAUGUACCUAUUAUGUACCCACAAAAACUAAAAAUAAAAAAAUUUGUUAAAGAAAAAAAGUGAAAAUUAAAAUCACAAUGAAAUAACAUGUUAUACUCAUUCAAUUAGCAAAAAGUAAAAAGCCUAACACAAUUAAGUGCUGGAGAGGAUGAAGCCUGUGGCAUUGUAGAUUAGCACAGAGUCUUUAGAGAAUGUUUUGGCAUUGUCUCCUAAAGUUGAACUUUCACAUGUUCUCUGACAUGAUUCUCCUUGAAGGUCCAUACCCAAGAGAAACUCUUAUACUUGUACAAAGGCUGACAUGUACCAGUAGGACUAUAACAGCCCUGUUCUAACUAGCAAAAGUCUGGACCCUCUCCUUUCCCAAGUACCCCUCAAUGGGAGUAUGGAUGAUUACACUAUGGUUUAUUUGUAUACACUACUAUGCAGCAGUCAGAACAAAGAAAUUACAAUGACACACAAUACUGUGAAUGACUCUUAGCAAUAUAACAUUAAAUGGAAAAAAGUAAGUCCCUAAAAGUUUUAUAAAGUUAAAAAACAAUUAAGAUAAAAAUAUACCUACUUUCUAGAAAUACAUAUGGAAGCAUAAAACCAAAUAAAAUGGGAAGCAGGGGUAUCAGGAACACAAGAUUCAUGAUGGUGUAGACCUUAGAAGUGGGGAGAAGAGGUUAAUAAGAUACUGGGGACUAGCUGAUAAGAUGUAGGUUAUUGUCCUAGACUUAGCUUUUGUUUGGUGGUAGAUUCAUGGGUGCUCAUUACAAUAUUGGAAAUAACUAGUUACAUAACUAAAUAAAUGACAAAGUCAUGGAUGGAUCCGUGGUGGAAAGUACUGUGAACAAGGAUCAAGAUUCAUCUAAUUUUUGAGCUCCAAGGAAUUGGGGUUGUGGGGAUCCUAUGUCCUAUGGAAUAAAUGCUGUUAUUAUCAGCAUGUUACAGGCAAGGGAACUGAGGAUCAGGUUGGUGGAGCAACUUGCCCCAGGCCACACAGCUGGUGAAUAGCAGAGCUGGGCAUUGAUUACACCCACAUAAACAGGUAGUCAUGGGGCCACGUGUUUAGAUCUGUUGACUAGAACAUCCCGUGGUGUCCAUAACAGGAGUUUCUCAUUUUAAGCCUGAAUCGUUUAUUCCCACACCAACUCCUGAGGUUGUUCACAUGCCAUUAUAACCUGAAGGUCUUGGAACCUUCCCAUGAUCUGAUAUUUCCCCCACCCCCGUGCACACACAUGCACACACAGUCAAAGUAUUUUCUGGCACCUUUUCAAGUCAUUUUCAUAUUCUUUUUGAGCAGUUUCAUUUUCUAAACCUGUUACUUCAGAACUCAUUCAUACGGAACCUAUGAAAGAAAUUCUGCUCGGCAUUGACUAAGCAUAUGAGUAAGUUUUUAUUUUAAUAGCACCAUGUGGGAGGUUUCUUUAUAAAUGAAUGGGGAGCAGAGGAGGGAAUGCUUGCAAACUUCCCACAGACAAGAGCUAAGCCUAUAAAAGCAUAUGGUAACACAGAAUCAUUCUUUUCAGUUUCAGGGUAAGCUCUUUUGCAAGGUAAUAUCAUUUGCAAAAAACAAAAAGUCAACAAAUAACCUUUUUGCCCUGCAGCUCUUAAAAAUGACAACUGUUCAAUGAAUGGAAAUUUGUGGGCCACAUACACAGACAGCAAAUUUACCAGGAUCCCAUUCUGCCUAAAAUGUAUGUGUAAUGGAUUGCCCAGCUCAAAAUUGAGGAGGCUGGUCUGAGUUUAAGCACCAUUAUUUUGCAUUGCUCCAAGCUGCUAAAAUUCCAGAUGCAGCUCAGUGGGGAGAAGUGAUUUCACUUUCAGAGAGAUUGGGCCAUGAUAGUGCGUAUGAUGGGCUGUAUGUAGCAUCACCCUCCAAAGGACGAGUCAGAGUCAGGAAAUGUUAAUCACUUGCCCGCUGUCCCCAGCUUGCACACUUAAUCUCUUCACUGUCACUGAGGUGGUCCCAUCUCUGGAAGGCAGCACCCAGGAGAGCUGUAGCUAAGCACAUGGUGCAUGACAACAUAGAACCACAAGGAAAGGCUGGGGUGUAAUGCUGGAGUUUGGUUAAGACCCUACCCCUCAUCUAAAUGAGGGCUCAUUGUGCAUUUUGUAUCCUCAGAAUGUGUCCCCUAGUUUUUAGUUCUCUUCCUCAUAAGCUAGCCCCCUGAGCCUCUCACGGCAAUGGGGAGGGUCUGGAUUCUGCCGGGCCCUCCUUCGGUUAUGCCCAGCAAGCACCUGUAGUCAGUGUCUCCUGGUGGAGGGCCCACUCACCCAGCCAUGCCACUUUGCAAAAUCUUCAGUAUCCAUCUCUCUCUCUUGGACUCCCCCAGACACAGGGACACUAAGGUCCCACAUUCUCAGCUGAUGGCCAUUUCCCAGGCAGUGGUCUAAUGAGCAGCGCUGUCCUAAGCCUUCUCAGGCAAUUCCAGUUCCAAAGAAUCUGCGUAGCCUCUUCCUGGGGACCUCUCCUCAGAAUGGAGUGUCUCAUCCCCACCCCUCUCUCCUCUUUUCUCCUUCAACCCCUGGCUGCCCCUUUCCUGUGGGCUUCUGCAGGUAGCCAGGCCAGGGACUGCACAUGCUGAAGGCCAUACUGGGGAUAGAGGACUGCCACCCUUUCCCACAGUCUCGUGGGAGCACCAAGUUGGGGUGGACACACAGCCCAGAGCAGCCUCCCACGGGGGGAUUUUCCACAGAAGCAUUUACCCCCAUUUGAAUAUCUCUAUGGUAAUGGACUGGAUGUUCAUGUUCCCCACCCCCUGUCCCUGCCAAAUUUGCAUGUUGAAGCUCUAACCCCCUAUGUAAUUACCUUUGGAGAUCAUUAGGUUUAAAUGAGGUCAUGGGGGUGGGGUUCUCAUGAUGGAUUAGUGCCCUUAUAAGAAAAGGAAGGGAUCAGAGCUCUCCCUGUCUCCACCAUGUGUGGAAACAGAGAGAAGGCGGCCAUCUGCAAACCAGAAAGGGAGCCCUCACCAGACACCAGAUCUGCUGCACCUUGAUCUUGGACUUCCAGCCUCCAGAACUGUAAGAAAUAAAUGCCUAUUGUUAAAGCCCCCCAGUCUAUGGUAUUUUAUGAGAGCAAACACAAUGGACUAAGACACCUAGCACGCCCCCACCUCCCCAUGGGAAUGAGUCAUAACACUCCUGAAGGACCGCUGUGACUUCAGGCAUAUAGGGCAGAAAGACGGAGGCGCACGCUGCCAUUUGCCCAUAGGUUGUUACUGCAAAGCAGCCUGGGGACAGCUGGAGGUGGUAUGGAGGCUGGGCCACCUUGUAUUGGAUUGUCCACAGACCUUCUUGCUUUCUAAAUAGAUCUGAUUUCCACAGCAGAGCUCAGCCCCUCUUCCUUUAUUUUUUUUCUUUUUAAUAGAUUUUUAAAAAUUAAUACAAGUACAUAAUUAUUAUAGGUAUUCAAAAGCUACAGAGCUAUAUAGGAGAAAGUCAGACCCCAGAAGUGCCCACAUUCCACAGGUGAAUAGGCAGCACCUCCCAGUCAUUCUGUGUCCCCUAAGAGGCUACAGGUAUGGAAACGGGGGCCCAGAAUGGACCCAUCGGCAUCUCUCUGGAGGAAGCUGAUAUUGCACACUCCCUUCUCUGAGGCUACUGGCCCACGUGGUGCUAAUCCAGCUGCAACUGUCAGAAAAUGAUGCUCCCUGGGAGUUUUCACUUAAGGAUUUAGGUGGGGCUCCAGAGGCCCUCAUAAUGUAAGAGUGCUUUCCCCUCCAAAUGCUGCAAAGUCAGAGGAACAGGGGCUGUUUGAGGAUCUUUAAUGCUAUUUUUAUUUUCUCAGCAUCAUCUCCAAUAUUUCUUGGGAUGCUUGUCAUAAAAUUAGCAGACUGGUAUUUAUUUCCUGGUGUUUUUAAAUCUUCAUGAUAUUUUAUCUCACCUAACUUUCUUUCUAAAUUUACUGAUUGUGGGUGUACUUUUUUUAACAAUACCACUGGAAUCACCUCUUAAUGACAAUUAACCUAUCCUGCAGUAGAAUACACUAUUUGUUUUAAAGAUCAUAACACAGCAAAAGUUGAAAUGACUUUGCAAUAAUUAUCAAAAGCACAGGAGUCUAGAAGCAGUGAUUCACACCCACGAGACAAUGGAUGGUGACAUUCCUGUCUACCUGCUUACCCCCUGAAGUGGGAGACAGUUCACGCUCCGCACCUCGCCCCCAAGAACAGCUUUGAAAUUAUGUAUUUUUUGUUGUUUUUCAACUAAGAAAAUGUUGCAUUAUUUCAAGUUUCAAAUCAGAUUAUACAAAAUCAUGUAUAAUAUUCUCUCACUGGUUAGGUAGGAGCUGCACUCCUUUCUCUAGUGUUGCCAAGAUUUCCAUCACUGGAAUGUGAAGCCCUUCACCUCUCAGAAUGCCAGAGAGAAGGAGUCCCUCCUGUGGUCCUGCAGUGUCACCCCAAAAGCUGCCCAGGUUGCCAGAUGUGUCUGAGAGAAGUGAGGCCACCUGACUCAUUUAGCCCAGUGCAGGGGAACUUCUCUGAAUGUGGCCCGGGUGCUUGAAAGAGCUCUACCCCACAAGUGGAAACCCCUCUUCUCCACUAGGUAUUCUGCUCUCAGAUCCACCCCUGCUGAGAAUACACUUCUGGUGGAGAGGCACUGCUCCUAAGUGCUGUCAGCAAUGAGGACUUCCUGUCUGGAGUAGGGUAGUCCCAGUGAAACUGACUAUCACUACAGGGCCCGGCUCGCCUCCGUUCGUGUACCCCAGCACACCAGGCACAUCGCUUACUGCUGGUUCUUUACAUGCCAGCCAGAUUCAGCUGUGGAUGCUGUAGGCAUUUAGUUUAGAGAUCUUCCUCCACCCUGGGCAGUAAAACAGUGUCUGAAGUUGACUUAAUGGCCUCCCAAGCCUGGUCUCCUACCCGCUGGGCAAAAGCUGCAGGAUGGGUCCUGCCUCGGUCAUGGGAAUGAAUAUGAAACCGAAAGAGCCAGUCCUUCAAGAUGGAUCCCUAGUGGCUAACUGGGCCUAAAUUUAACAUUGAGCCUAGUGGUCAUUUAUUGACUAGACAUCACAGAUGUACUCUGUGUCAACAGAAAACCCAUACCUCUGUUCAACUUUGGGACUUUCAGAACUCACCUGAACCAACCAAUCAGAACUUAGCUUCAUCAAGUAAUUAGAACUAAGCAAGUUUGAAUCCUUCAUUUGCAUAAAUGGACUUGAGUGGGAACCCGGACAGGAACUUUUGCUGUCAAAACUGAAACCUCCUUUUGCUCCCUGGAAGGAACCUUCAUUUUAGACCACAGGUCACAUCUCCCCAUUUUGCAAACUGCUUAGUGGAAUAAAGUCUCUUCCCUUCCAAUUCUUUUACAGAGAACUUUUGUUCACCGACACCUUACCUUGCACGCUCCUUAUCCCUCUCCAAUAACAUGCUCCCAUCUGGGCUGUCUCUUUGUUCCCCAGAUCAUGCUAUAUCCACUAAAGGGGCUAGUUCUUUCUCUUUGUUUAAUAUUCAAAUCUUACCAGAGAUAUUAAUAUUCAUUUCUUCCCAGAGAAAAUGGAUAGAAGGGUUCUGUCAUAUUUAUUUGGACACUAUUCUCAUCACUUUAAAGGCACACCUUUAAUCAAAAUAAAGGCACAAGGGUGUUGAGUGGUGUGGGUGUCAAAUGCCAUGGGUAUCAAAUGUUGUAGGUGUCAUGCCCCUUCCAGGUCAAAGAAGAGGAUUAAUACCAUUUGUUGAAAAAUUCAGAGCAGAAAGGGAUUUAGUCCUGACUCUGCUGCUCACUGGCUGUGUCCAGUUCUUAGCUCUGAGCUUCAGUUUUCUCAACUAUAAAAUAAAGGCCAUAGAGCUACAUAUGUGGUCUUCAACCUCUUACCAGAAGCAUUAUUUUAUUAAGUACAAUUUUGCACAUAGCCUCAGUAAUGACAAUGGCUAAUAUUUAUUAGUUGAACACUUUUUGAAGAGCUUUAUGUGCAUUAACUCAUUUAAACCUCACAAAAAACCUUAUAAGGUAAUAGUAUUAUCCCCAUUUUUCAGAUGAGGAAAUUGAGGCACAGAGUGCCCAAGGUCACUCAGCUAGUAAGAAUACUAAAGCCAGGUUAAAACAUUGCUCUGAAGGCCACAGUUUCAACUCCUAUUUCUGGACAGUGAAAUGCUCUGCUAGGUCUGGGGUUAGAAGGGCUGUGGGUGAGUCUCAUCUUCUCUGGUAUCCCUUCUUCUUCUCUACUCAGAAGCCCCUUGGCACAACCACAAAGCCCUCAGGUUUCACAUACCACCUAGGGCAGUCUAAAAAGUUCCCUUACAGUACUUAAAUUCAACCAAACACUCAUUUCUCAUGGAGGUAUCAGCAUUAAAUGGGACCUGCCCAUGGAGUGCUCCGGGGUCUCUGGCAUGGGACACAGGUGGCACAGGUACAGGUGUAGAUAAAUAUCACUAACUCUUUUCGGCAGCAGCAGUGGUGGUGGUGCUGUUAGCACAGCCUGGGAAGGUCAAAUAAGCAUAUUUAAAUUGUGCCCAGGAAAUGUUAUGAUAAAUUCAGAAUCAGGAGAAUGAGAAGAGAGAGAUGGAUCACAAACCUUGGCAAGAAAAGGGAAACCCUUUAGCUGAGAGGAUAAAGGAAGGUACAUAAUAAAUACUUCAAAGAAACAAUGGGGAAAGGGACAGAAAACCUGUCCAGGUCGAGAGACUGGAAAGCAGGCAGGGAAUGGAGUAGAGUGGGUGAGGGGGAUGAGCUGCCAGAGAACUGAGUAGGAGAGGGCAGCAGGAGUCAGGGCCAGGCAGAGGGGAAGUGUGCCUGCAUUUAAACCAGAAGUGUUGUGAGCUAGGCUUCCAUUGAUUUGCACAAUGCUUGAACAAUGUGAUUAGGCCAGGCACGAUGACUCAUGCUUAUAUCCCAGCACUUUGGGAGGCUGAGACGCAAGGGUCACUUGCAUCUCUUGCCAGGAGUUCAAGACCAGCCUAGGCAAUAAAGCAAGGACCCAUCUCUACAAAAAAGCAUUUUUUAAAAAAAGUUAGUCAGACAUGGUGCAAGCACCAGUGGUCCUUUCUACUUAGAAGGCUAAGACAAGAGGAUCACUUGAGCCCAGUAGUUCCAGGCUAUGGUGAGCUAUGAUUGUACCACUGCAUUCCAGCCGGGGCAACACAGCAAGAGCCUACCUCUAAAAAAUAAUAAAAAAUAAAAUAAAAUAAGAACAAUGUGAUUAAAGGGCUCCAUUUAUUUUUUAAUUUAAUAAGCUGAUAGAACUCAGGUAAUGGUGUGUGCUGGUAAAUGUUUAAUAACCAGCUGUCCAAAUAACUAAGCAUGAUUUGCUGAUUUCCAUGGUGAAAUACUCCCACACAAGCAGGAACUGGGGAGAGAAGCACAGCUGCCCCGUCGCCCAGUACAGUAUUUCCACCACACAGGUACCAUAACGUAAAGAGCCUCAAGGGCACAGGAAAUGGUAAAAUGUCAUAAAAAAGGUAGUAUAAGUUUUGUGUAUCCAUUACUUUUGUUUGCGAUUUAAUUUGCUUACCUGAGGUUCUAUAAUUUUUAAUAGUUGCUCUGGUUAACAACCAGGCCAAAAAGUUCCUGAAGAUCUUGUAGCCAGCGCUGGUAAGCUAGUACUGGCAGCUCUAGCACCUCUGCACAUGGAUGUUGCUGUGGAGGAAAGAAUCGUGGCCAAGAGAGACUGCGGCCAGGGAGAGUUGGUCCCAGGAGAGGCCCACCCAGGAAAACCUGCUCCCCACCCCCAGAGCCCACCUCCCCAGGAGAAUCUGCCCCCUCCUCAGAACCCCUUCCCCAGAGCCAAACCCCCAGAGACACCCCUCACCCAAGGAGAUCCUGCCCACCCCCAAGAGCCCGCCACCCCCAGCCUGUCCCCGCCCUGGGGAGAGCUCGCCCCCAAGAGUCUGCCACCUAGGAGAGUCAGCCUGGGGCUCCACCACACCCAGCGCUGCAAGCACUUGGCAACCACAUGUCUCAGAGCUCAGGGGCUCCCAACAGGAAACAGGUCCUGAGACUGGGAAAUCAUGUGGGCUGCUAAUCCCGGCAGACAGCUCCUGUUCCCACAUACCUUGAGAAAAGGAAGUACACUAGCCAGGGGGAGAUCCCUCGGGAAUUUCAGGGAUGUGCCUACAACAGUCCCCAGAAGAAUCUAACUGUGGGAAUGUGCUGGAGGGACGCACUGGAGCACAAUGGAAGGCGUAUUGGGGGAGCAGCAGAACCUCUGGAAAGGCCCGGAAAGAAGCGGUAACUCUGACCCCACCGCCUCCCGAACUGCCAACUGGAUUCCCAGCCCUGAGCAAGGGGCUUACUUGGAAUUUCUCAAGGCUGAAAAUGUUGGGUGGUGGCAGGGAGGCAUGAGAAGAGGGAGGUGAAGAAGAAAGGUGGCCAGCAUGGGACCCUCACUCCCUACUCUGGUGUGUCUGAACUAUCCCAAACAGGACUACCCACCUGUAAGAACUUGUGUACUGAGCACAUGGCCCAGGAGACUCCAAGCUCUUUCCCUAUUUAACAGACCUCUUCACUCUUGCCUCUUGGCAAGCUUGGUUUAUAAACUGUCCAGGUCCAAGGCAAUAGCAAUCAAAAGAGGACCUACAACGAGGCUGACAGAGGUGUCGGGGUCUGGGAAAGAGAGCCUGAGUGGAGCCUGUGGACUCUAGCCUGGCCUCGCCCAAGAUGGGAUGUGACAGUCAUGAACACAGGAGAGCCUGGAAUAGGCCCCCUCUAAGAAUCUGCAGCCUUCACACCCUCACAAUGCCACAGCCAGCAAAGGUGACUGCAGAGGCCAGGACAAGCAAAUGCAUGGCGCUGAGAAACUGGAGGGUCACCAGAUAAAACACACAGGGCCCCCACUAAGCCCCCUCACUACGCCCCAACAACCAGACUAAAAAUCAAAACAGAGUUAUCUAUGCUACAAUUCCACCAAACUGAAACUAAGUUGUUAUCUGAUCUUCCACAAAAUUAGGAGCAUGAGGUAACAGCUGCUAUGGUUUGGCUGUGUGUCCCCACCCAAAUCUCAUGUUGAAUUGCAAUCCCCAACACUGAGGGAGGGACCUGGUGGGAGGUGACUGGAUCAUGGGGGCAGAAUUCUCCCUUGCUGUUCUCAUGAUAGUGAGUGAGUCCUCACGAGAUCUGGUUGUUUAAAAGUGUGUAGUGCUUCUUCUUUCACUGUCUCCUGCCACCACGUGAAGAUGUGCUUGCUUUCCCUUUGCCCUUCUGCCAUGAGUGUAAGCUUCCUGAGGCCUACCAGCCAUGCUUCCUGUACAGCCUCCAGAACUCUGAGUCAAUUAAACCUCUUUUCUGCAUAAAUUA
rnacentral:lncRNA from 1 species